AUCUGGGUGGCUCAGUCGGUUGAGCAUCUGACUUUGGCUCAGGUCAUGAUCUUGGGGUCCUUAGAUA
rnacentral:tRNA from 1 species